AGUGAACGCUGGCGGCAGGCCUAACACAUGCAAGUCGAACGGCAGCACAGUAAGAGCUUGCUCUUACGGGUGGCGAGUGGCGGACGGGUGAGGAAUACAUCGGAAUCUACUUUUUCGUGGGGGAUAACGUAGGGAAACUUACGCUAAUACCGCAUACGACCUACGGGUGAAAGCAGGGGAUCUUCGGACCUUGCGCGAUUGAAUGAGCCGAUGUCGGAUUAGCUAGUUGGCGGGGUAAAGGCCCACCAAGGCGACGAUCCGUAGCUGGUCUGAGAGGAUGGUCGCCCACACUGGAACUGAGACACGGUCCAGACUCCUGCGGGAGGCAGCAGUCGGGAAUAUUGGACAAUGGGCGCAAGCCUGAUCCAACCAUACCGCGUGGGUGAAGAAGGCCUUCGGGUUGUAAAGCCCUUUUGUUGGGAGAGAAAAGCAGCAGGUUAAUACCCCGCUGUUCUGACGGUACCCGAAGAAUAAGCACCGGCUAACUUCGUG
rnacentral:rRNA from 1 species